CGCUGUAAACAGACAACAAAAUGGCAAGUAAACGUUUUUCAACGAUAAGCGAGGAGGUUUUGAAGGCAUUGGAUCGUGAAAAGGACGCUAAAAACACUAAACGUGUAGUUAAACAUGGUAUGAACUUGUACGACGAAUAUCUUCGUUCAAAUUACAUGGAUCUCGUGGAAAAUCCAGAGGAACUUAACAACCAGUUAUUGAGUUACGCUUUUUCUAUGCAUCUAUAGUCAGAAAAACGACGAAAAAUUAAAGAAAAAAACUUUGGACAGUCUGAAGUAGGGAAUAUCCAAGCAUCUCUUAAGCACGUAUAACAUUAAUUUGAAAGACCAGCAAUUUUCAUCAAGAAAUGAAACCUACAAGUUACAAGUUAAGCAGCUUAAGCGAAGUGGACAUGGGAGUGUCGACCACAAACCUGUAAUAUCUGACAGCGAUCUGGAAUAAUUAAGUGGCAACAGUGUACCUUUUAAUAUUAACAUAUUAACACUCAAUGUGGUUUUCAAAACAGGGUGUGGUUUAACUUAAUGCCUUACCUUCUGAGGAGAGGUCAAGAGAAUUUAGGUUCAAUGACGAAGUCAACAUUACUAUAGAAAUUGAUUCAACCGGGAGAAAGUUUAUACACCAGGUCAUCGCAGAAUCAACAAAAAAUCACGGGAUUGACGAUACACCUGAUGAUACCACAGGAGAAGGAAAGAUCUACGAGCAGCCUGGCAGUACGUUUUGUCCAGUACGAUGCUUUGAGAAGUACCUAUCUAAACUGAACCCUAAACUCGAAGCAUUAUGGCAAAACCAUUAGAAUCAUUUCAUUAGAGACCAGUGACAUUUGGUAUUGUGCUGCACCAUUAGGAAAGAAUACUUUGACUGUGUUAGCCAGUGAACUUUUAUUUUUGUUAUCAAAAUAUAUAUGGUUAUUCAUUGCUGAAUUUAACUAAAAGUAUUGAAUCUUAAAAUUGCUCAUGGUUCUUAUAAAUUGUUCAUGUUUGAAAAGUUUGUUCGGUAUAAUAAAAUAAAUAUUACAUGUCUGACAGGGUGACCCCUGUCAGACAUGUAAUAUUUAUUUUAUUAUACUGAACAAGUGAUAAGAAAUUGACUGUGUUAACCUUCAAAUCCUCCUCGCUUAUCGUUGAAAAAGGUUUGCUGGCAAUAUUGCUUGCCAUUGUGUCGUCUGUUUACAACGUCAUAGAUUGCGUAAUCAAGUGAUUAGAAAUUGACUGUGUUAACCAGUGUACUUUUAUUUUUGUUAUCAAAAUAUAAAUGGUUAUUCAUUGCUGUAUUUAAAUACAAUUAUUAAAUAUUAAAAUUG